GCCCCUGUAGCACAAUGGUCGGGCGUUAGACUUCUACAUGGUAGUAAUCUAAAGGUUGCGGGUUCGAGUCCCGCCAGGGGUU